CUAUGGGAGGCUGCAGUGGGGAAUAUUGGACAAUGGGGGAAACCCUGAUCCAGCAAUGCCGCGUGUGUGAAUAAGGCCUGCGGGUUGUAAAGCACUUUCGGUUGGGAGGACUGCUUCUAGCACUAAUAUUGUUGGAAGUUGACGUUACCUUCAGAAGAAGCACCGGCUAACUCCGUGCCAGCAGCCGCGGUAAUACGGAGGGUGCAAGUGUUAAUCGGAAUUACUGGGCGUAAAGCGCGCGUAGGCGGCUAGAUCAGUCGGGUGUGAAAGCACCGGGCUUAACCUGGGAACUGCAUCCGAUACUGUCUAGCUUGAGUACAGGAGAGGAGAGUGGAAUUCCACAUGUAGCGGUGAAAUGCGUAGAUAUGUGGAGGAACACCAAUGGCGAAGGCAGCUCUCUGGCCUGAUACUGACGCUGAGGUGCGAAAGCGUGGGGAGCAAACAGGAUUAGAUACCCGAGUAGUC
rnacentral:rRNA from 1 species